UACGUAAGAGGCGAGCGUUACUCGUCAUUAAUGGGUCUAAAGGGUACGUAGACGGUAUAGUUUAAAUCUUAUAAGCCUAAGAGUAAUUAAGAUAUUGUUAUACUAGAGUCAGAACGGAGUAAAAAUAUACGACGGGAAUAGUGUGUCAAUACUGAUAUACCCGUGUGGGUUGCGAAGUGGCGAAGGCAUUUUACUAGUGAUGACUGACGUUGAGGUACGAAGGCGUAGGUAUCGAAUGGG
rnacentral:rRNA from 1 species